GACCGAGCAACACGAACUCCAACAAAACGGUAUAUAUUUCAUACAAGUAUAGGACUAUAUGAAACGUCGUAACUGUUGCGGCGACGUCAAUAACGUUGUCGUUGUUUUUUUGUUUUUUUACACUCAAGAUUCAACUUUAACAGGGUAUAGCUUGAAAAGUAGCACGGUUGCUAAGGACUUUCUUUGCACCAAUCGAUUCCUCAGACAUUUUAGAAUCGUCUCAUAAAUUUAAAAAAAAAUCUAUUGUCUAAUAUAAUAGAAAAUCUUGGAAAUGUAACAAUUCCUGUCGAAUUUCACUAUUUUCCCUAUAUAUCCUUUGUAAUUUUGGUGUAUGAUGCUGUUAACUUCAACAGCUCGUAUCUCAAAAACGAAAACGGUUACCCCCUUUUUUUAUUUUAUUUUCCGAUUUAUUUUUACAAGCAGAAUCUACAUGUAAAAUUUUUAAAAAAUCCAUUGUGUAGUUUAAUUACGUACACUUCGCCUUAAAUGAUUUAUGUU
rnacentral:lncRNA from 1 species